rnacentral:rRNA from 1 species
GGUUAAGUGAAUAAGGGCGCACGGUGGAUGCCUUGGCACUAGGAGCCGAUGAAGGACGGGACUAACACCGAUAUGCUUUGGGGAGCUGUACGUAAGCUAUGAUCCAGAGAUUUCCGAAUGGGGGAACCCAACAUCUUUA